rnacentral:piRNA from 1 species
UGGAUAGACAGGUCAGUGCAAAGCUG